rnacentral:rRNA from 1 species
AUUGAACGCUGGCGGCAUGCCUUACACAUGCAAGUCGAACGGUAACAGGUCUUCGGAUGCUGACGAGUGGCGAACGGGUGAGUAAUACAUCGGAACGUGCCCGAUCGUGGGGGAUAACGGAGCGAAAGCUUUGCUAAUACCGCAUACGAUCUACGGAUGAAAGCAGGGGACCGCAAGGCCUUGCGCGGACGGAGCGGCCGAUGGCAGAUUAGGUAGUUGGUGGGAUAAAAGCUUACCAAGCCGACGAUCUGUAGCUGGUCUGAGAGGACGACCAGCCACACUGGGACUGAGACACGGCCCAGACUCCUACGGGAGGCAGCAGUGGGGAAUUUUGGACAAUGGGCGCAAGCCUGAUCCAGCCAUGCCGCGUGCAGGAUGAAGGCCUUCGGGUUGUAAACUGCUUUUGUACGGAACGAAAAGACUCCUUCUAAUAAAGGGGUCCAUGACGGUACCGUAAGAAUAAGCACCGGCUAACUACGUGCCAGCAGCCGCGGU